CAGUAGCCACGGGAAUACGAAGGGUGCAAGCGUUAAUCGGAAUUACUGGGCGUAAGGCGUGCGUAGGCGGUGAGUUAAGUCUGCUGUGAAAUCCCCGGGCUCAACCUGGGAAUGGCAGUGGAUACUGGCUCGCUAGAGUGUGGUAGAGGAUAGUGGAAUUCCCGGUGUAGCGGUGAAAUGCGUAGAGAUCGGGAGGAACAUCAGUGGCGAAGGCGGCCAUCUGGGACAACACUGACGCUGAGGCAGGAAAGCGUGGGGAGCAAACAGGAUUAGAUACCCCCGUAGUCCCUGUCUCUUAUAC
rnacentral:rRNA from 1 species